ACUCUUAGGGGCAUCUUGUCUCCUUCUUCAGGGCCAUUCUGACAAGAGCCAUAUGGAAUAUUUCCUGUCCUUUCAGAUAAACUCCGUAACAGGGAGGUACCAGUGACGGAUGAGCUCCAAACUAGGAGGAAGCUGUGGGACCAAGAACCAACCUCGGUCAGAAGGUUUGGAGUUGGCUCCAAGAGAUGGUUUGAAACAUACAAGGUGGACACUGGGCCUGACCCAGGUACAGGGAGAAUCCAGCCAUGUUCCGAUGACUCAACUGCUGUUAAAGACAGCAGAUAACGUGUAAAUGAAUGAGAACCGGCUCCUAUGGGCAUCUCUGGGGGGAGCUGAACGCCGGUGGUGGAAACGGAAGAGCGUUUGCCGGGGACCGGACUCCAUGCCUCUGCAGAGGACCUGCCAUGCUACACACUGUCCCCUGAGGCUCUGUGAACGCGUGCACCUCUGGUUUGCUAAGUCACUUCAGUUGUGUCCGACUCUGUGGGACCCCAUAGAUGGCAGCCCACCAGGCUCCCCCGUCCCUGGGAUUCUCCAGGCAAGAACACUGGAGU
ensembl:lncRNA